rnacentral:lncRNA from 1 species
UUUUAUUCCACAGGAGAAUAUGUUGACGAGCAAGGCCACUGCCAAGCCUGCGAAGCCUCAUGUGCCAAGUGCAGGGGACCAACUCAGGAAGACUGUACCAGCUGCCCCACGACAAGGGUUUUGGAUGAUGGUCGCUGUGUUUUGAACUGUCCCUCAUGGAAGUUUGAAUUUAAGAAGCAAUGCCAUCCAUGCCACCAUACUUGCCAAGGAUGCGAAGGAAGUGGGCCUUCCAACUGCACCUCCUGUAGGCCAGACAAGCAUGGUCGGGAGCGCUUCCUGUACCAGGGUGAGUGCUGGGAGAACUGCCCUGUGGGCCAUUAUGCUGCCGAGGGACGCGCCUGCUUGCCCUGCCCGGACAACUGUGAGCUUUGCUCCAACCCGCAUGUCUGCACUAGAUGCAGGAGCAGCUACUUCAUCACGCCCACCGACUACACCUGUCGGAAGCUGGAGUGCGGACAAGGUGAAUUCCAGGACUCUGAGUAUGAAGAAUGCAUGCCUUGUGAGGAAGGAUGUCUGGGAUGCACCGUGGGUAUGUCAUGUUCCUUUCUUACUUAAAAAUCUAAACAGCCGUGU